UCGGCCGGUUUAGCCACACCCUCCCGCUAGACUUCAUUUCCUCUCUAUGGUUUGUGUUUAGCGAGUGCGUCAGUGAGUGAGAGAGUCGGCUCGUAGCAUGGCGGCUACCCGGGGGCAGGGUGCGGGGGGCACCGGCGGGAACGCACAGGGAGGGAAGAAGUAUCAAGGGAAGGUGCAGCAUUUUGUAUUUGGUCAUCAGGAAUGGAAUGGAAACAACACAAGGAAGAAGGCUUAUGUCCCACCCACAGUUGCUCUCACCCUCCCACCGGCCCCACCCACCUGGCAGGAAGCACCCACAUUGGAGGACAGCCUGCCAUUCUCUCGUACCCCCCAUCCGCAUCGCUGAGCAGUGCCGCACCCGUAGCCCACCUUCUUGCCUCUCCAUGUACCUCAAGGCCUAUUCUACAGCACCCGACCUACAGUCUGUCUCACCCUAGUGGCGUCGUUACCAAGUUGCCGUGGGCAUCAAUCCCCGCCUCUUACCCUCCCCAACCAUCCAUCAGACUCAGUUCAAACCAAUGGUUCCAUCCCAUUCGUACAUCAUGGCGUCCAAUGAGCCUACGAAACUCAGUCAGUAUCCGUACAUGUGAGAUCUCAAGAACGCUCGGAGGAAGAUCAAAGAUUCAGACUUAUUUCAAAGAAGAAUUUAAACACAUGGCCUUGUGGUAAAUAUGCCCUGGCACAAGAAAUUAAGGAUAUUUUUUUAAAAAAACUCAUGUAGACGGGUGCAGUUUAAACAAUGUUGAGCUAUAAAUAAAGAAAAUCAUUUGCACAUUUGGUAUAAA